GAUGAACGCUGGCGGCGUGCCUAAUACAUGCAAGUCGAGCGAAUGGAUUGAGAGCUUGCUCUCAAAGAAGUUAGCGGCGGACGGGUGAGUAACACGUGGUUAACCUGCCCAUAAGACUGGGAUAACCCCGGGAAACCGGGCUAAUACCGGAUAAUAUUUUGAACUGCAUGGUUCGAAAUUGAAAGGCGGCUUCGGCUGUCACUUAUGGAUGGACCCGCGUCGCAUUAGCUAGUUGGUGAGGUAACGGCUCACCAAGGCAACGAUGCGUAGCCGACCUGAGAGGGUGAUCGGCCACACUGGGACUGAGACACGGCCCAGACUCCUACGGGAGGCAGCAGUAGGGAAUCUUCCGCAAUGGACGAAAGUCUGACGGAGCAACGCCGCGUGAGUGAUGAAGGCUUUCGGGUCGUAAAACGUCUGUUGUUAGGGAAGAAC
rnacentral:rRNA from 1 species